AAUAAUGUCAUUUUAGGAGCACAGUUUUACCAUUUUAUAUGAAGAUUAGCAAGUAAAAGCUGAAUACAUAUCAGAAACGAGGUGAGAAAGUGUUGUUUUUGCAAAAAAAACCCAGACACACACACACACUUUUGAGGCUUUCCAGGCUGCUGGAUCCAAAUAUGAGGAUAAUACAUACAAAAACACUGAAAAUGAGGGAGCAUCAGUGUGGAAAUUAGUAUAUUCUAAUGGGAGAAUUAAAGGAAAUGCAGCUGUGCUUGCUUUCCCUACUGAUCCCUAGCCUUGAAAUUCCUCUAAAUUAAAUUGUAAAAAAGUGAUCUCAUUUUCUGUUUUCUACUAGGCUAUGCAGUUAAUCCCUGAUACAGAAAAAUAUUAAGAAUACCUAUAUUUAGCAAGGACCAUCAGUAACAGACCAAGAGCAGCCUGCUCCUUCCAGCAGCAGCGUCCUCACUUCUCCUUGGGGCAGGCUGGCCCUGAAGUACUCUUCAGCCUAGCACAGCAGUGUGAUAUGCUGGCACAGUGAGGUUCCCGGCAACGCGGACAGACAAGGGAGCACAACUGUCAGCCUCCUCCUUCCUGAGUUCCUUGCCUGCAAGAAUGUCUCUUCACAUGGAAAGCCAGCGGCCACUAAUUUGGUCACCAACCUCUGCCCCGUGAACUCCGUCCGAGUCAGAGGCAGAGGUGUGGGAAAGGGAACUGUCACAUUCACCCCGAAGGAGCCGCCAAGGUGGCUGGAGAGGAUGACAGGCUGAGGACUCGGCCAGGUGCUCAUGUGGAAGCCUGAGAGACAUCUUCCACCUCUCCAAGAGAAGGGAGGUUCCCCACUUCCUUUUGUGUGAUGGGGAUCCAGGGGCAUAUUGGUGCGGGAGCUGAAUGGAGACAAUUUCCACUGCCAAGGCUGCUCUGGUCCUGAGGCUGAGACACACCAUCUGGAAGCUGGACCUGUGGACAAUGCCACUGCUCAAAAAGUGCCUUGUAGUCAUGGGUCUCUUCAUUACCAUCAUUGCUGAUGCCUCCCUAGCUUCUAGCCAUGCAGCAUCUGUUUCUAAACUUGGAGGGGUUCACCACUAAUUAAGGAAUAUUCCUUCCUUCAGCUGACCUAUUUUGUUUCCUUGCUUAGCUCUAGAGAAGCUGGUGGUUGAAUUGCCUCUGGCUCACCUUAAUCAACUCCAUUUAUUUAAGGAGUUUAAGUUG
rnacentral:lncRNA from 1 species